GUUUGACGCUAGUCAUUGUUCUCACAGGGGCAGCACACCUAUGCCUUGGAUCAUCAGGGUGGAUUACUCCGCAAUAUCAACAGAGCACCUGUCUACGAUUAGACGAAACCCUGGAACUACGAACCACUAGAAAUCAGGUUGAAGCCCCAAUAACUGUUUACUUUGUUUUUCCCAGCGACGAAUGGAAGUUCGUCAAUUUCAAAUGCACGGAUAUUAACUCAAACAGAUGGAUCUGUGUAAUCAAGUACUGCAUGACCGACUCAUGGGCUACGAACAAGCCUCUAAUCGGAGUUCCACGUGAUGAGACUAAAGUGUGGCGAAUCACCAGAACAGGCACCAGCUUGAUUAUAGAGUGCAAUGGUAGGACGGUCCUUAACUUCAACUUUGCGAGAGAUUAUAUGAACGGGUUUUCACAAUGUCGAAGCACCUGGACUCAGCGUUCUGAAAAGAUCAAGUUCAAUUGGAGUGGAGGAUUAUAUAAGAACAACGGGUAUCUGUCAAUGAGGAAAGCUGGCGGUGGUUGGAGUAGCUGGGGUGGAUGGAGCAGCUGUAACUGUAACCACAAUUCUGGCACCGGAACAUGGACCCGAACUAGAUCC